GGCGGCAGCGGGCAGCGUCCGCCUGUCGUGGGGUCGUGGCCUCGUGGGGACGGGGGCGGACGCGGAUACGGACGCCACGCGUACCGGCUCCACUCGGCCCGCCAGCGGAGUAGGCCACGCCGUCGAUCUAGCCACCACCGUGGUGUCGAAGAGGCGCGGGAUGGAGUGAAGCGGGCGGUUGCCCAUGAAGCCCUCGGGCGACACUCGAUGGGCGGCUGGGCGUUCGAUGCUCCGGCUGCCGAUGCGGUUGUGGGCAGGCAAUGUCAAAGUCUGCGUGUAGCAGUGCAGCAUCAAGUAGUGCUGAAAAUUGUGUUAGGUCGGCCCAUAUGGACACUGCACAAAGAGAUAUGAGAACCUCAUUUUUGCAUUAUAGAUUUAAAACUUACAAGAUAUAUCUGGUGAUUAUAUCCAAUCUGGUGGAUACACAAGAAAGGGAUGCCAAGUGAGCUGAUUUCGGAUAUCUUUACCCUUGUUUUCAGCACUGUAUUUGUAGUGGUAACCCGAGCAUUUAAACCCUGGCUUUCUUAAAAGCAGAGUUAAUCUCCUUUAAAAGAAAUAUAUACAAUCUGAUGACAAUGCUGCA